rnacentral:rRNA from 1 species
UACAGAGGCCUCAAGCGUUGUUCGGAAUUACUGGGCGUAAAGGGUGCGUAGACCGUGGGGUAAGUUUGUCGUGAAAUCUUAAGGCUCAACCUUAAAACUGCGGCGAAUACUGCUCUGCUAGAGGUAUGGAAGGGGAACUGGAAUUUUCGGUGUAGCAGUGAAAUGCGUAGAUAUCGAAAAGAACACCAGCGGCGAAAGCGAGUUCCUGGACAUCACCUGACGUUGAGGCACGAAAGCUAGGGGAGCAAACGGG